rnacentral:rRNA from 1 species
UACAGAGGUGGCAAGCGUUGUUCGGAAUUACUGGGCGUAAAGGGCGCGUAGGCGGUCUUGUAAGUCUUGUGUGAAAUCCCUCGGCUUAACUGAGGAACUGCACGAGAUACUGCGAGACUUGAGAUCGGGAGAGGGAAGCGGAAUUCCGGGUGUAGCGGUGAAAUGCGUAGAUAUCUGGAGGAACACCGGUGGCGAAGGCGGCGUUCUGGACUGCAACUGACACUGAGGAACGAAAGCCAGGGGAGCAAACGGG